rnacentral:rRNA from 1 species
CCCGCUGAACUUAAGCAUAUCAAUAAGCGGAGGAAAAGAAACUAACAAGGAUUCCCCUAGUAACUGCGAGUGAAGCGGGAAAAGCUCAAAUUUAAAAUCUGGUGGUCUUUGGCCAUCCGAGUUGUAAUUUAGAGAAGCGUCUUCCGCGCUGGACCGUGCACAAGUCUCCUGGAACGGAGCGUCGUAGAGGGUGAGAAUCCCGUCUUUGGCACGGACACACCAGGGCUUUUGCGAUGCUCUCUCGAAGAGUCGAGUUGUUUGGGAAUGCAGCUCAAAAUGGGUGGUGAACUCCAUCUAAAGCUAAAUAUUGGCGAGAGACCGAUAGCGAACAAGUACCGUGAGGGAAAGAUGAAAAGCACUUUGGAAAGAGAGUGAAACAGUACGUGAAAUUGUUGAAAGGGAAACGCUUGAAGUCAGUCGCGUCGUCCGAGACUCAGCCUCGCCUCGGCUUGGCGUACUUCUCGGCCCGACGGGUCAGCAUCAAUUUCGCCUCUCGGAUAAUGGCGAGGGAAAAGUGACACCUUUACGGUGUGUUAUAGUCUCUCGUCGCAUGCGAGGGUCGGGACUUGAGGGACUCAGCACGCGCCCUCGGGCGUCGGGGCUUUCGCCCACGAUACGUGCUUAGGAUGUUGGCGUAAUGGCUUUAAACGACCCGUCUUGAAACACGG